rnacentral:lncRNA from 1 species
AUUUUCACAUGAUUACUAAGGUGGAUUUUAUAGCCAGCAAAGAACACAAUUUUAACAAGUGUUGCUUUCAUUUCUUUACUUUGGAGGUCAAGACAUUUUUAUGACAGAAGAACAGAAGAAAUACUACAAUGCAAUGAAAAAACUGGGUUCAAAGAAACCACAAAAACCCAUACCUCGACCUGCUAACAAAUUCCAAGGAAUGGUCUUUGAUUUUGUAACCAAACAAGUCUUUGAUAUCAGCAUCAUGAUCCUCAUCUGCCUUAACAUGGUCACCAUGAUGGUGGAAACCGAUGACCAGAGUCAAGAAAUGACAAACAUUCUGUACUGGAUUAAUCUGGUGUUUAUUGUUC